UACGUAGGGUGCGAGCGUUGUCCGGAAUUACUGGGCGUAAAGAGCUCGUAGGUGGUUUGUCGCGUUGUCCGUGAAAACUCACAACUCAAUUGUGGGCGUGCGGGCGAUACGGGCAGACUGGAAGUACUGCAGGGGAGACUGGAAUUCCUGGUGUAGCGGUGGAAUGCGCAGAUAUCAGGAGGAACACCGGUGGCGAAGGCGGGUCUCUGGGCAGUAACUGACGCUGAGGAGCGAAAGCGUGGGGAGCGAACAGG
rnacentral:rRNA from 1 species